AAGCGGAGGAAAAGAAACCAACCGGGAUUGCCCUAGUAACGGCGAGUGAAGCGGCAAGAGCUCAAAUUUGAAAGCUGGCCCCCUCGGGGUCCGCAUUGUAAUUUGCAGAGGAUGCUUCGGGAACGGCCCCCAUCUAAGUGCCCUGGAACGGGCCGUCAUAGAGGGUGAGAAUCCCGUCUGGGAUGGGGUGGCCGCGCCCGUGUGAAGCUCCUUCGACGAGUCGAGUUGUUUGGGAAUGCAGCUCUAAUUGGGUGGUAAAUUUCAUCUAAAGCUAAAUAUUGGCCGGAGACCGAUAGCGCACAAGUAGAGUGAUCGAAAGAUGAAAAGCACUUUGAAAAGAGAGUUAAACAGCACGUGAAAUUGUUGAAAGGGAAGCGCUUGCGACCAGACUCGCCCGCGGGGUUCAGCCGGCACUCGUGCCGGUGUACUUCCCCGCGGGCGGGCCAGCGUCGGUUUGGGCGGCCGGUCAAAGGCCUCUGGAAGGUAACGCCUCUCGGGGCGUCUUAUAGCCAGGGGUGCCAUGCGGCCUGCCCGGACCGAGGAACGCGCUCGGCUCGACGCUGCAUAGACGAGACGGAU
rnacentral:rRNA from 1 species